rnacentral:rRNA from 1 species
UACGUAGGGUGCAAGCGUUGUCCGGAAUUAUUGGGCGUAAAGAGCUCGUAGGCGGUGUGUCGCGUCGGCCGUGAAAAACCUGCAGCUUAACUGUGGGCUUGCGGUCGAUACGGGCAUCACUGGAGUUCGGCAGGGGAGACUGGAAUUCCUGGUGUAGCGGUGAAAUGCGCAGAUAUCAGGAGGAACACCGGUGGCGAAGGCGGGUCUCUGGGGCCGAUACUGACGCUGAGGAGCGAAAGCGUGGGGAGCGAACAGG